rnacentral:misc_RNA from 1 species
UUGUUUAAAAGCAGUUAAUUAGAUCAUCUCUAUAGGAUUCCAGAAGCACAGAAUCCUAUGGACAAAACCUAUUGAACGGACAUAAUUCAUGAAUGUUCAAACACUAUAAAUAAAGGGUUUGCAUAUCUUUUAAGAUCAUUCAAUCUUAUUUACGGAACAGUGUGUGAUCAAUACCCUUAGUUACAGGAUGUCACACAGACUUAAUUUUUCUCAUUUUUCUUCAGGAAUUAUAUGGUACAGCAUUUAUACAAGUUGUAACGUAAACACUUGAAUGAACAUGCAUAUUUUGAAGUAAUUUUGAUAUCCUAUUUGA